AAAUUUUAUUUUUGAGUUGGGGGUGGGGUCUUGCUCUGUAGCCCAGGCUGGAGUACAGUGGUGCAAUCAUAGCUCACUGCAGCCUCAACCUCUUGGGCUUGAGUGAUACUCCCACCUCAGCCUCCUGAGUAGCUAGGACUGGGCAUGAUGGAGCCAGCCUGUGGCCCCAGCUACUAGAGAGGCUGAGGUGGGAGGAUCACUUAAGCCCAGGAGGUCAAGGCUGCAGUGAGCCAUGAUCAUGCCACUGCACU
rnacentral:lncRNA from 1 species